UGUAAGCUGGAUCAACAAAAUGAU
rnacentral:siRNA from 1 species